CGCAAACACAGUUAAGGUUUGAUGAGAGGAGAGAAGGAGGGUCUUUAUAUAUUGAACACUUAAAGAGAGAAGACUAGCUGCAGAGAAAAGAUGUGCUGGCUGCCGAUAGAUCAGCCUUUGCUCCUGCCCGGUGACUCCACCUGCAGCGGCCGCCGACCCUCGCCGUGCUCCGUGGCUCAGCUGCUCGCGUCGCGCCUGCGGAGGGUCGGGGACCAGCUGGAGAAGAGCUGGACGGCCGGGGAGACGGACGGAGGCUUCGGCUGUGGGGGCGGUGGGGCGAUGGUGGUGACCGCCGGGCGAGGCCACCUGAAGAGCUUCCUGUGCACCGCAAUACACUUCACCGUGCUCGCGCUGGUCGUCGCGAGGCGACACCUGUAGGGCGCGAGGCGGCAACACCAGCAACAGAUGCUGCCUCUGGGACCUCGGGCUCACAUCAUUUGCACUAAGAGCAAGGGAUGCAGGAGAGUCGGAGGAUGCGGUCCAGGAGAAGGUGUGACCGACGGAGGAAGAGGAAGCGGGGGUUAAAUGCGUGUUUCAGGGUGGGGGACCUUAAACUCCAUAUGUCAUGAAGACUCAACUCAGGCCCGAUGUGGACGCACUGCGAGUUUCAUAAGGAGCUGACGCACUGAACCCCAGCACCAGCCCUGCAGCCAGUCAGUUGCACGUCCUGCCCCCCACCCUCACCCCUCCCUGCGUGACUCUGAGAUUCAGUCAUCCCAGUUACAAAACGGUGAUGUAAUCCUCCCCUGGUAGAGUGGAGGGAAAAGCUUACUAAUAGGACGCCUUUUGAAUUUUCACCUCCCACGAUGUGCAUCAAUGACAAAAGGGGUUAAACUGAUUAGACCUUCAAAAUGUAUCUAAGGCAACAAAGAUUGCAGCAAUCCUGUGAAAUGCACUGACAUAGACCUGUGUAUGAGCUUCAUAAUGCACUGUACUUUUUUACAUAAGCUAUACUAGUGUACAUAUGUCAACAAUGCUUGGAUGAAUGUUUUUAUAGAUGUUUUCUACAGUGUUUAGACAAUGUUUACACAUUCUCCUGUGCUUUAACAUUAUCUGUCAGGGGCAGUGUUAUGUGGCUUUUUAUCAUAAAUAAGAUACAGGACCUGUGCAUAGGAAGCUAUGCUGUUAAUGCUGUCUGUGAUUUCUGGAAAUAAGCUUUUCUCUGAUAUAUCAAGUGUAAUGUGAGCAGAAUUAUUGAAACGGUCUUUUAUAAAGUGUGUGCUAUUUAUACUAAUUAAAUAUUUCAUAUGGAUUUUUAGUAGUUAAAAUAAUAAAAUCUUUUGAAAUGAA